AUCAUCUUCAGUAAAUUGGGCUUGAAAUUGAAUCUAUUGCCACCGUCCGUUCCUUGCGUCUUCAGUAUCAUCUUCAGUAAAUCGCACCUUCAGUCGUCAGCAUUCACUCCGUCGGUUCCUUGCGUCGCGCCUUCAGUCGCCACCAUUCACUCCUUCGGUUCCUUGCGUCGCGCCUUCAGUCACCACCAUUCACUCCGUCGGUUCCUUGCGUCGGUUCCUUGUAUUAAAUUGCAUCAUUCAUCUUUUGGCUGUGCUCAGGUUGAUUCUCAAGGUGACAACACUUGCACACAGUUUGGCAAAGCAUAGGAAAUCGUCAACAUUAGAGUCCAAGGAUCUCUUGCUACACUUAGAGAAAAACUGGAAAUUGACUGUUACAGGAUUUUCAAGUGAAGAGCGGAAUCAAAGAAGCCCGGUAAGCAUUUCUGUUUGUUGUUUACUAGAUGUCAGUGCUCAAAAUGUCUAAGAAUUUUGACUU